AUUGAACGCUAACGGCGUGCCUAACACAUGCAAGUCGAGCGGCAGCAUGAUCUGUAGCAAUACAGAUUGAUGGCGAGCGGCGGACGGGUGAGCAAUACAUAGGAAUCUACCUUGUAGUGGGGGAUAACCCGGGGAAACUCGGGCUAAUACCGCAUAAUCUCUACGGAUCAAAGCGGGGGAUCGUAAGACAUCGCGCUAAAAGAUGAGCCUAUGUUGGAUUAGCUAGUUGGUGAGGGAAUGGCUCACCAAGGCGACGAUCCAUAGCUGGUCUGAGAGGAUGAUCAGCCACACUGGGACUGAGACACGGCCCAGACUCCUACGGGAGGCAGCAGUGGGGAAUAUUGGACAAUGGGCGAAAGCCUGAUCCAGCAACGCCGUGUGUGUGAAGAAGGCCUUCGGGUUGUAAAGCACUUUUAGUUGGGAAGAAAAGUCCAUGGCUAAUAAAUAUGAGUGAUGACGUUACCAACAGAAAAAGCACUGGCUAACUCUGUGCCAGCAGCCGCCGUAA
rnacentral:rRNA from 1 species